AGACAGCAGUUCAGAGCUUGAAGACUGAUGAAGUCUUUUUUGAAUAACUCUGCCAUCUUCUUCUGGUGUUGAUCAGCAUGGGCCGUAAUGCAGCAUUCCUGCUCCUCUGGGGAAUAUUGAGUUUUUGUCUUCCACCAGACUACUGCCAAAUCAGUGAGUCUUUAAACAGCAACGUCUCUUCAAACCUUCAAACCUCAGAGAGUAAUAUUUCCAUUUCUUCAACUCCUGUAACAUUAACUAGCACCCAAACACCUGAGUCAACAACUGAAGCCUCAACCAGCAGAAGUGUCACAGACUCUGAGAAAUAUUCAGAAACAUCAUUGACAGACCCAUCAGACAAUACAUCUGAAUAAACAGCUACAGAAGACUCCAUCUCUCCAGCAAACACCUUGAGUGCUUCAAGCGAUACUAACAGCAACAUAUCUACACCAAACAUGACUCUGAAUAAUACUGAUGAGACCACCGUGACCACCGAUUCCAAUUCAGAGAAAUAUCUAGUGAAAAACUCAUCAAAAAGCACCCAAACACCUGAGAUCAACACUGAAGCCUCAACCAGCAGCGUGACAGACUCUCAAUCAUCAGUGGAAACGUCAGGCACUAAAACUCUAUAUAUAAUAUGCACUUCAGCAACUACAGGACCUUCAAUGAUGUCUUCUGGUACAACUAAAAGUGUUGAGGAUCAUAAAACAAACACAGCGACAACAUCACAGCAACCAUCAGACAACGCAUCCAAAUACACCCCGGAUACAUCAUCUCUACAGGUUUCAUCUUCAACACCAGACUCUAGUCUAAAUCUAAAGGAAACCUCAAAGAGUAAUAUUUCAAUUUCCUCAACUCCUGGCACAUUAACUAGUGUCCAAACACACGAGCUAACAACUGAAGUCUCAAUUAACAGAAAUCCGGAGAAAUAUUCUGACCCAUCAGGCGGUACAUCUAAAUACACCGCAAAUACCACAACAGAGCUUCCAUCCUAUACAUCAGAAGACAGUCUGAAUCCAUACAACACAUCUAUGACUGAGUAUCACAGCUCCAUCACAGCCACAGAAGCCUCCGUCUCUCCACCACCGUUCAUUUCAAUUUCAACUGAGAACACAGAGCACAUUUCAGAUAAUCUCUCAUUUACAACAGAGCCAUCUACAGCAAUACAAAGAGUUGAGACACAUGUCAGCAGUGCACCACAAUCAUCCACAACUGCCCUGUCAUAUGACAAUAAUCACAAUAGAACAGCAUCAACUAUGAAAACAGCCGCAGGACUGAUCUCAUCCAGCAGUUCCACUGAAAUGCCUGAUA